rnacentral:rRNA from 1 species
UCGGGAAUUUUGGGCAAUGGGCGCAAGCCUGAUCCAGCCAUACCGCGUGAGUGAAGAAGGCCUUCGGGUUGUAAAGCUCUUUCAGACGGAAAGAAACGGUUACGGCUAAUACCCGUGACUAAUGACGGUACCGUAAGAAGAAGCACCGGCUAACUACGUGCCAGCAGCCGCGGUAAUACGUAGGGUGCGAGCGUUAAUCGGAAUUACUGGGCGUAAAGCGUGCGCAGGCGGUUUGGUAAGACAGAUGUGAAAUCCCCGGGCUUAACCUGGGAACUGCAUUUGUGACUGCCAGACUAGAGUGUAGCAGAGGGGGGUAGAAUUCCACGUGUAGCAGUGAAAUGCGUAGAUAUGUGGAGGAAUACCGAUGGCGAAGGCAGCCCCCUGGGCUAACACUGACGCUCAUGCACGAAAGCGUGGGGAGCAAACAGGAUUAGAUACCCACGUAGUCCCUGAGCGGGCUGGCAAGGCGCAU